UUUGAACAUCUCUUCGUAGGCCUUCCACCGUGGUGGGUUCCAAGCGUUUGUGACUCAUGCACCAGCUUCACCCUAUCAUGGGGAAGUACAAAGCAUGUGCUUACAUCCAGGAGGAAUCCAUAUACAUAUGAUGAGGUGAGUGUAGGCAACGAGGAUAGCCAACAUCGUAUCAUCGUGAGGCUAUUCUUGAACGAAACAGUGGGAGUAUUAUAUGCUACUAAUUCAUAUUAACUUGGACCAAUGGUUGUGAUAGGCCCAAGUUCUUUUAAUGUGAUUAAAAUGUUUUGAUGUAGCCCAAAACUACUCCCUCAAAUCAAAUAUUAUGUUGAUAAGCGAGAGAUGUUUUGAACAUCUCUUCGUAGGCCUUCCACCGUGGUGGGUUCCAAGCGUUUGUGACU
rnacentral:lncRNA from 1 species